rnacentral:rRNA from 1 species
GACGGAAGGUGCAAGCGUUGCUCGGAAUCACUGGGCGUAAAGGGUGCGUAGGCGGCCGUGCAAGUCUGGCGUGAAAGCCCCGGGCUCAGCCCGGGAAGUGCGCUCGAAACUGCGCGGCUCGAGUGCCGGAGGGGAGAGUGGAAUUCCUGGUGUAGCGGUGAAAUGCGUAGAUAUCAGGAGGAACACCGAUGGCGAAGGCAGAUCUCUGGGCCGUAACUGACGCUGAGGAGCGAAAGCGUGGGGAGCGAACAGG